GAAGGGGGCUAGCGUUACUCGGAAUGACUGGGCGUAAAGGGCGCGUAGGCGGUUUGCUUAGUUAGGCGUGAAAUUCCUGGGCUCAACCUGGGGGCUGCGCUUAAUACAGGCAGACUAGAGUGUGAAAGAGGGUCGUGGAAUUUCCAGUGUAGAGGUGAAAUUCGUAGAUAUUGGAAAGAACACCGGUGGCGAAGGCGGCGACCUGGUUCAUUACUGACGCUGAGGCGCGAAAGCGUGGGGAGCAAACAGGAUUAGAUACCCUGGUAGUCCACGCCGUAAACGAUGUGUGCUGGAUGUUAGGCAACCUAGUUGCUUAGUGUCGUAGCUAACGCGGUAAGCACACCGCCUGGGGAGUACGGCCGCAAGGUUG
rnacentral:rRNA from 1 species